GGGACACACACAGAGAAAGGGUUGUUUAUGCCAUGGCAGCAUGGGGAGAAGUGUAGAAACUGAAAUACUGCAGCAAUUUGAAGAAGCGAGAGCAAAGGAAGGACAGGGGACUCAUUGCAAAACCUUCCUAGGAUGUGCAGAGACUGGCACUCUUCCAUCAAUCCUAUUUGUUUGGGUGGCAUUGAUACAGUGGAUCAGACUCCAAGAGUAUGGAAGUUAAGCUGACUGGACUAUAAUUCCCUGGGUUGUCCAUAUUCCC